CGCGUAGGUGGCCACUAUAAGGCCGCGGUGAAAGUUCGGGGCUCAACCCUGAAUCUGCCGCGGCGACUGUAGGGCUAGGGCACCGUAGAGGCAGAUGGAAUUCCGGGUGUAGCGGUGGAAUGCGUAGAGAUCCGGAAGAACACCGGUGGCGAAGGCGGUCUGCUGGGCGGUGAACUCGCAAGAGUUCAAUAGCCGACACUGAGGCGCGACAGCGUGGGGAGCAAACAGGAUUAGAUACCCUGGUAGUCCACGCCGUAAACGAUGGGCACUAGGUGCUUUGGGGAGCGACCCUCAGGGUACCGGCGCUAACGCAUGAAGUGCCCCGCCUGGGGAGUACGGCCGCAAGGCUGAA
rnacentral:rRNA from 1 species